rfam:Nostoc sp. PCC 7524, complete genome.
AUUGCAAUUAACACUAAUCCCUAUUAGGGAUUGAAAC